CCCGCCCCGCUCGGUGCCCGUUUCCUUCCGCCGCCGCUUUUCCUUUUCCUUUUUCCUUCCGGGACGAAGCGGAACCGGGACAGGGGGAAUAAAAAGCCCCACGCGCUCCCCGGGAGGAGCGGCCGCGGCCGGCCGGGCCUGCGGCGUCCAUGACAGGAGGAGCCGGCGCUGGCUGGAAACGCUCCGGGCCCGGGGCUUGCCUCGGAUCGGGCGCUCGGGUGAUCCCAGCUCCGGGGGCUCCGCUGAUCCCGGGGGGCUCCGCUGAUCCCAGGGGUUCCGGUGAUCCCGGGGGUUCUGGUGAUCCCGGUGCCCCCCGCUGACCCCCGCUGACCCCGCUGACCCCCGGUGCCCCCCCGCUGA